rnacentral:rRNA from 1 species
GUGUCAGCAGCCGCGGUAAUACGGAGGGUGCGAGCGUUGUCCGGAAUCACUGGGCGUAAAGGGCGCGUAGGUGGCUGGGGAAGUCGGCGGUGAAAGCCCGGAGCUCAACUCCGGGUCGGCCGUCGAGACUCCUCGGCUCGAGCUCACUAGAGGCAGAUGGAAUUCCGGGUGUAGCGGUGGAAUGCGUAGAGAUCCGGAAGAACACCGGUGGCGAAGGCGGUCUGCUGGGGUGAGGCUGACACUGAUGCGCGACAGCGUGGGGAGCAAACAGGAUUAGAUACCCUGGUAGUCC